AAAAAAAGAGUCCCGCGACAAAAACCGACUAAGUUGAAAAACAUACAAAUAACCG
rnacentral:sRNA from 1 species